rnacentral:sRNA from 1 species
CUGGAGCUUGGCUUUCAAGGCACUAGGU